UGGGGAAUAUUGGGCAAUGGGCGCAAGCCUGACCCAGCAACGCCGCGUGAGGGAAGAAGGUUUUCGGAUUGUAAACCUCUGUCGCAGAUGACGAAACAAAUGACGAUAAUCUGUGAGGAAGCCCCGGCUAACUACGUGCCAGCAGCCGCGGUAAUACGUAGGGGGCGAGCGUUGUACGGAAUUACUGGGCGUAAAGGGAGCGUAGGCGGUCGAUUAAGUUGGAUGUGAAAUACCCGGGCUUAACUUGGGGGGUGCAUCCAAGACUGGUUGACUAGAGUACAGGAGAGGAAAGCGGAAUGCCUAGUGUAGCGGUGAAAUGCAUAGAUAUUAGGAGGAACAUCGGUGGCGAAGGCGGUUUUCUGGACUGACACUGACGCUGAGGCUCGAAAGCGUGGGGAGCAAACA
rnacentral:rRNA from 1 species